UACGUAGGGGGCAAGCGUUGUCCGGAAUCAUUGGGCGUAAAGCGCGUGUAGGCGGUUCAGUAAGUCCGCUCUGAAAGCCCGGGGCCUCAACCCCGGGAGGCGGGUGGAUACUGCUGAACUCGAGUCCGGAAAGAGGCGAGUGGGAAUUCCUGGUGUAGCGGUGAAAUGAUGUAGAGAUCGGGAGGAACACCGGUGGCGAAGGCGGGUCUCUGGGGCAUUUCCUGACGCUGAGGCGCGAAAGCGUGGGGAGCAAACGGA
rnacentral:rRNA from 1 species